GGAGAGAUGGCUGAGUGGUCGAAAGCGGCGGUCUUGAAAACCGUUGUGGGCGUGAGUUCACCGGGGGUUCGAAUCCCUCUCUCUCCG
rnacentral:tRNA from 1 species